UUGCUUUUGAAAGUCGAGUGGCAAACGGGUGAGUAACGCAUAGACAACCUGCCGUAAAGAUGGGGACAACAGUUCGAAAGGACUGCUAAUACCGAAUGUUGUAGAGUUUCCGCAUGGGAAUCCUACUAAAGGUGGCCUCUACUUGUAAGCUAUCGCUUUACGAUGGGUCUGCGUCUGAUUAGCUAGUUGGUGGGGUAACGGCCUACCAAGGCGACGAUCAGUAGCCGGUCUGAGAGGUUGAACGGCCACAUUGGGACUGAGAUACGGCCCAGACUCC
rnacentral:rRNA from 1 species